rnacentral:rRNA from 1 species
UGGGGAAUAUUGCACAAUGGGCGAAAGCCUGAUGCAGCGACGCCGCGUGCGGGAUGAAGGCCUUCGGGUUGUAAACCGCUUUUGAUUGGGAGCAAGCGAGAGUGAGUGUACCUUUCGAAUAAGCACCGGCUAACUACGUGCCAGCAGCCGCGGUAAUACGUAGGGUGCAAGCGUUAUCCGGAAUUAUUGGGCGUAAAGAGCUCGUAGGCGGUUUGUCGCGUCUGGUGUGAAAGUCCAUCGCUUAACGGUGGAUCUGCGCCGGGUACGGGCAGGCUAGAGUGCGACAGGGGAGACUGGAAUUCCCGGUGUAACGGUGGAAUGUGUAGAUAUCGGGAAGAACACCAAUGGCGAAGGCAGGUCUCUGGG